rnacentral:rRNA from 1 species
UACGAAGGGGGGCUAGCGUUGUUCGGAAUCACUGGGCGUAAAGGGCGCGUAGGCGGCUUUAUAAGUCGGGGGUGAAAGGCCUGUGGCUCAACCACAGAAUUGCCUUCGAUACUGUAGAGCUUUGGAGACCGGGAAGAGGUAAGUGGAAACUGCGAGUGUAGAGGUGAAAUUCGUAGAUAUUCGGCAAGAAACACCAGUGGGCGAAGGCGGCUUACUGGUCCGGUUCUGACGCGUGGAGGCGCGAAAGUGUGGGGAGCGAACAGG